UGGGGAAUUUUCCGCAAUGGGCGAAAGCCUGACGGAGCAAUACCGCGUGAGGGAUGACGGCCUAUGGGUUGUAAACCUCUUUUUUCAGGGAGGAAUCAAUGACGUUACCUGAAGAAUAAGCAUCGGCUAACUCCGUGCCAGCAGCCGCGGUAAGACGGGGGAUGCAAGUGUUAUCCGGAAUCACUGGGCGUAAAGCGUCUGUAGGUGGUUUGAUAAGUCAACUGUUAAAUCUUGAGGCCCAACCUCAAAAUCGCAGUCGAAACUAUUAGACUAGAGUAUAGUAGGGGUAAAGGGAAUUUCCAGUGGAGCGGUGAAAUGCGUAGAUAUUGGAAAGAACACCGAUGGCGAAGGCACUUUACUGGGCUAUUACUAACACUCAGAGACGAAAGCUAGGGUAGCAAAUGGG
rnacentral:rRNA from 1 species